rnacentral:rRNA from 1 species
AUGCUGGUGCGUUAUCCCGCCCCGGCCGUCACGGUCAGCAAGUUCAGGUAUUUCUUUCUUCCUCUGAAUUGCUUUUCCAUGGAAAUAGACUCCCUGUACAGACAUCGUUGGCCUACUGUAUGUGUGAAUAUUUCUCGCUUGAUGCAGGGCGCAGUUAACUCCUCUAGUGAUUCUGUGAUGGCUCGUUUGAUAUAUCACCCAGAAGCCAUUGCCGUGAAGAAUGAUGAGCUGCAAGCAGAGCAGGAGGUGCGCACUCUGAAGUUGCUCAGCUUGGUGGAGAUGGAAAAUGAGCUUGCCAUUUUAGUUGCCAUGCUUCUAUUUGCAACUGUUGCUGCUGAUGCGACGUACUUCGACAACAAGUGCAUGACUGAAUGUAGCUACAUCCACUUUAUGUGUCUUUUGAGUCUGUUGGUGAUGGUGGAAUCUAGAGUGUGGUUACAUGUAAAGUAG